UAGGAAGCCUUGUGUUUGUUCACAUCC
rnacentral:piRNA from 2 species